AGAUACCCCACUAUGCUCAGCCGUAAACCUUAACUUACAUUAAAAUCGCCAGGGAACUACGAGCCACGCUUAAAACCCAAAGGACUUGACGGCACUUCACAUCCAACUAGAGGAGCCUGUCCUGUAAAUCGAUAAUCCCCGUUCAACCUCACCCCCCUUAGCCUUUUCAGCCUGUAUACUUCCGUCGUCAGCUCACCGUGUGAGCGCCACUCAGUAGGCCCAACCGCUAAAUACGCACACACGUCAGGUCAAGGUGCAGCUUACAGGGGGGGAAGAGAUGGGCUACAUUCUCUAUAAUAGAGUAUACGAAUGACUGCACAUGAAACCCAGUCAGAAGGCGGAUUUAGAAGUAAAGAGGAAAGCAGAGCGUUCCCUUUAAUAACGGCACUGAAGUGUGUACACACCGCCCGUCACCCUCCUCACAGCCACCUUGAUAGUAACUAACAACUCACGGCACCAAAGAGGAGGCAAGUCGUAACA
rnacentral:rRNA from 1 species